AACGUAGGUGGCGAGCGUUAUCCGGAUUUACUGGGCGUAAAGGGUGUGCAGGCGGGCUGUUAAGUGGUGCAUGAAAUCUCCGCGCUUAACGUGGAGAGGCUGUGCCAGACUGGCAGUCUAGAGUACGAGAGAGGGUUGUGGAAUUCCGGGUGUAGUGGUGAAAUGCGUAGAGAUCCGGAGGAACACCAGUGGCGAAGGCGGCUCACUGGCCCGGUACUGGACGCUGAGGUGCGAAAGCGUGGGGAGCAAACAGG
rnacentral:rRNA from 1 species